rnacentral:rRNA from 1 species
CCUACGGGUGGCAGCAGUGAGGAAUAUUGGUCAAUGGGCGCAAGCCUGAACCAGCCAAGUCGCGUGAGGGAUGACGGUCCUAUGGAUUGUAAACCCUUUUUGCCGGGGAGCAAGGCCCGCCACGUGUGGCGGGAAGGAGAGUACCCGAAGAAAAAGCAUCGGCUAACUCCGUGCCAGCAGCCGCGGUAAUACGGAGGAUGCGAGGGUUAUCCGGCUUUAUGGGGGUUAAAGGGUGCGUAGGCGGAAGGUUAAGUCAGCGGUCAAAUGGCGGUGCUCAACACCGGCCUGCCGUUGAAACUGGUCGUCUUGAGUGAGCGAGAAGUAGGCGGAAUGCGUGGUGUAGCGGUGAAAUGCAUAGAUAUCACGCAGAACUCCGAUUGCGAAGGCAGCAUACCGGCGCGCAACUGACGCUGAGGCACGAAAGCGUGGGGAUCGAACAGGAUUAGAUACCCUGGUAGUC